rnacentral:lncRNA from 1 species
CAAUAGUCGUUGAUUUCUCCCUCUCGUUAGCUUGUCAAUCCUGUCGCCAUCUGAACUUUUAAGCAUUCUUCGUGCUUAACGUUGGACCCGGCUACUGCUAUCAAGAUUCUUUUUUUUUUUACAAAGAAACAAAAAUUUAUUAAAUUAGCUGCAAACCACUGCAAUGAGAGUAUAUAGAUAGUCCUUUACAGACAAUAGAGCCGAAACAAUUGGACAACUGCUACCAUGGUGCAUGUUUCAAACAAGAAACUUUGAAAGGCUCGCUCUUGGCUCAUACGUUUCAAGGCUUUCGGUUAAGAGCCCGCCCCUAUAGAUAGGCUCGGAGCUCAGUUGACCCAUUAUUGUAGUCACGUAAAGAGUUUUAGUCUAUUACUUCUCUCUCCCCUUGCUUAGGCCUUGUUUAGAUACACCCAAAAACCCAAAAUUUUACAAGAUUCCCCGUCACAUCGAAUCUUGCGGCACAUGUAUGGAGCAUUAAAUAUAGAUAAAAAUAAAAACUAAUUACACAGUUUGUCUGUAAAUCGCGAGACGAAUCUUUUAAACCUAGUUACUCCAUGAUUGGACAAUGUUUGUCAAAUAAAAACGAAAGUGCUACAGUGUCAAAAUCCAGAAAGUUUUUGGAUCCCUUAGUCGUGUUGAAGCUGAGUGGGCGAGCAGUGACAUCUCUCCAACAUGCGCUCACGCUAUCUACCUCCCCCUCCCUCACUUAAAAGCUAUAGUUUGGUUUUGACUAAUUGACGAAAUAUACUGGACUAACCCUAUGCUCAAAGUGUGUGAAUGAGAUAGGUUUGUCCAAAUCCAAGUGAUGGAGAGCUAGGUGGCAAUCAAGUGAUAGAGAUGGCCAAAAGAUGG